GACGUAGGGCGCGAGCGUUGUCCGGAUUUAUUGGGCGUAAAGAGCUCGUAGGCGGCUUGUCGCGUCGUCCGUGAAAACCUGCAGCUCAACUGCAGGCUUGCGGUCGAUACGGGCAGGCUAGAGUUCGGUAGGGGAGACUGGAAUUCCUGGUGUAGCGGUGAAAUGCGCAGAUAUCAGGAGGAACACCGAUGGCGAAGGCAGGUCUCUGGGCCACUACUGACGCUGAGGUGCGAAAGCGUGGGGAGCAAACAGG
rnacentral:rRNA from 1 species